AGUGAACGCUGGCGGUAGGCCUAACACAUGCAAGUCGAACGGCAGCACAGUAAGCUCUUGCUCUUACGGGUGGCGAGUGGCGGACGGGUGAGGAAUACAUCGGCUUCUACUUUUUCGUGGGGGAUAACGUAGGGAAACUUCCGCUAAUACCUCAUAUGACCUACGGCUUAAUGCAGUGGAUCUUCGCACCUUUCGCGUUUGAAUGAGCCGAUUUCGGAUUGCCUAGUUGGCGGGGUAAAGGCCCACCAAGGCGAAGCUCCGUAGCUCGUCUGAGAUGAUGAUCAGGCAAACUGGAAAUGAGACACGGGCCAGAAUCCUAAGGGAGGCAGCAGUGGGGAAUAUUGGAGAAAGGGCGCAAGCCUGAACCAGCCAUAGCGCGUGGGGGAAGAAGGCCUUCGGGUUGGAAAGACCUUUUGUUGGGAAAGAAAAGAAGCAGGUUAAUACCCCGCUGUUCUGAAGGUAACCAAAGAAUAAGCACCGGCUAACUUAGUG
rnacentral:rRNA from 1 species